rnacentral:rRNA from 1 species
UACGUAGGGCGCAAGCGUUUGUCCGGAAUUAUUGGGCGUAAAGAGCUCGUAGGCGCUUGUCGCGUCUGUUGUGAAAGCCCGGGGCUUAACCCCGGGUCUGCAGUGGAUACGGGCAGGCGUAGAGGCAGGUAGGGGAGAACGGGAAUUCCUGGUGUGAGCGGUGGAAUGCGCAGAUAUCAGGAAGAACACCCGUGGCGAAGGCGGCUCUCUGGAACGCAACUGACGCUGAGACGCGAAAGCGUGGGGAGCAAACAGG